rfam:Glycine max cultivar Williams 82 chromosome 18, whole genome shotgun sequence.
GCCCAGCUGAGAUACGCUAGCAUGUGACUCAUGUGGGGCACCAAAGUGAUGAUGGAACAACUCUUUGGCUUUGCUAGGUUGAGUUGUGGCCCCACCUGCACGCCGAGUUGAAUCAUGGGACUUAAGCGAAGGCAUAAGUCUCCUGGUUUCUAAAUGGAGAGCAAUGCGUGGGGUUGGUUUUACAAAGCAGCAAACACUUCCUACUCCCAAUAGUGGUGGGAUAACAGGUUGCUGCAAACUCAAUCCACAAUGGCCUAGUGAUCGAGUGUAGAUGCUUGGACCAUCACUUUU